rnacentral:rRNA from 1 species
CCAGGGAUUCCCCUAGUAGCGGCGAGCGAAGCGGGAAGAGCUCAAAUUUAUAAUCUGGCACCUUCGGUGUCCGAGUUGUAAUCUCUAGAAGUGUUUUCCGCGUUGGACCGCGCAUAAGUCUGUUGGAAUACAGCGGCACAGUGGUGAGACCCCCGUAUGUGGUGCGGACGCCCAGCGCUUUGUGAUACACUUUCGAAGAGUCGAGUUGUUUGGGAAUGCAGCUCAAAUUGGGUGGUAAAUUCCAUCUAAAGCUAAAUAUUGGCGAGAGACCGAUAGCGAACAAGUACCGUGAGGGAAAGAUGAAAAGCACUUUGGAAAGAGAGUUAACAGUACGUGAAAUUGUUGGAAGGGAAACGCUUGAAGUCAGACUUGCUUGCCGGGCAACCGGUUUGCAGGCCAGCAUCAGUUUUCCGGGGUGGAUAAUGGUAGAGAGAAGGUAGCAGUUUCGGCUGUGUUAUAGCUCUCUACUGGAUACACCUUGGGGGACUGAGGAACGCAGUGUGCCUUACGGCGGAGGUUUCGACCUCUUCACACUAGGAUGCUGUGAAGGCUUAAACGCG